CUGUGCGAGUAACUUCCCUUUUGAAAAAUUCACAAUUUCACUAACAAUCGGAAACAACAUGCAAGAGCAAGAGGAGAAACUGGAGAAAACCAAUUCGCGCAGAAGAGUGAAGCUUCGAUUCGUUUAGUUUUCUUCUUCCACUGAAUCCCAUGGCGAGAGUGAAGCACACGCCAGCUUCUCGCAAGCUUGGUAGGAAGAACAAAGCACCGCAGGCAUUCACUUCCGCGCCAAAAUCACCGCAAUCUCAAUCGAAUUCAUAAAUCCAUAUGGAAUCCGUUCCUCGUCCCAGACUCAGAAUGAUUCUGAUUCUUCGUCUGAAAGAUUGUCAUGACAGCAGAAACGGAAAAUCAACAUGGCAAUUUGGAGCUUAGUUACAACAAUGAGGAAUUUCGAUUAGAGGGAAAUAGUAAUGGUGGUUACAUGGACAAGGCAUGCCUUUAUAAUCAUUCCUCUGUGGGGGAUGGAACUGUGACUUUUUCAGAAGGCAAUUGUCAUGUUGAUAUCAAUGACCAGUUUGAAGGGGAAUUAGAGGGCAAGGCUGAAAAUCACACUGUUUCCUGUAGUAGUGAAGUUCCAUUUUGCAAAAGCAUUCCAGGUUCAGGUUUAUCAUUUUCCUAGUGAAAUCUAAUUAAACUUGAGUAUGUUUAUCAUUUAAAUAAUGGAGUGGUUUUAAUUAGUAGUCAUUGAGGCCUCUAUGGUUUUAGUCUUUUCUACUAAAAAAAAAUACUAAUCAUAAAAGCAUAAAAGGUGCAAGAGUACUGAAAAUUUAAUCUUCUCUCAAAAGGUAUAUUAACUGCCUCUCUUUCAAGUGGAACAGCUAUUUGGUCACGAGUGUACAAUUAACUAGCUAAGCUAGGUCUAGUUAGUUUCUAUGAUGAUAAAACCAGACUAUUACAGAUUUUUCUUCUACCUUAUCGUGAUAUGAAGCUUUGGCAUAAAUCACGAAAUGAUUAAAUUCUAAUAUCUUCUUUAAUUAAAUUUUUAAAGUUAAAUCUUUAACCUCUUGCAGAAAUUUAGAUAAGUAAUAUGAGCACUAGAUCAUCGCAGUUCCUCCUUUUUUUAAAAAAAGCUGCGAACUUAGAUGAAAGAAGAUGUUGUUUUGACUUAUUUCUAUAUAUAAUUAUCUUUUCUGAUUCUGGAAAUUUACUCUUCUAUUGCUACUGGUCAUUUCUACUAUCUUAGUGUUUUAUGGUCAAUAAAGACAUAGUCCCCUUUUUACAGGUUCAUAAAAAUGUAUUUGUUGUCUUUUAUUAUGGAGAGAGAGUUAAAAGUAAAAUUCUGAAAAUAUGUGAUGCUUUUGGAGCAAAUCGUUAUCCUUUCUCAGAUGACUUGAGUAAACAAUUUCAGACGAUAACAGAGCUAUACGUAAUUUUUUCUUAAUGUUUGUGCAUAGCUUUCAAUUUUCGUUAUAAAAAAUUAUGAUGAAUGCCUUAGAAAGUAAGUUCUCAACACCAUCAUUUAUAGGUUCUAUGGAGCAAAAGUGAAAAACAUGAGAUGCUUCUAUCCUGAGAAAAAAUUGUUUCUGCAGGAUCUUAUAGUUGUUUCAAUUGAUGUUCAUGUUGUUAAGUACCGAUGUUCAAUUUUGUUAUUAGUAUUACCAUGGUUGAAUAUCUAAAAUUUUCUUUAGAUAUAAGCUGUACAGAAAUUCUUUUCCCUGCAAUAUGCUCUUUUGGAAUUUCAACUUGAGGAUUUGAUCAGCUAGUUUCAUGUUGCUUUAAUGUAUUGAAAAGGAGUUCUGGGAUGAGCAUCUGAACUUUGCUGUUGAUUUGGUAUUAUAUAAUUUCUUGAUUAGUGAUUUUUAGUUAGAGAUAUAUUCAGUUUUAGAUAUUGAUGGAUGUGUAUCAGUAUGAUAUCUAGUUGUAUUUAGUACUAGUGAUGUGAUAAUUCUGUGGUACUCCUUCCAUUUCUUAUUAUAAGACAUUUUAACCGAAUUUAUAGACACCACUACCCUUUUUUCCUACCAAAUCUGUUUCUGAGUGGGCAUCUUGCAUACAAUAUGCAGUUACCAGUAAAGGAAAGUAUGGAACAAGAGUUCCUGAUGAGGUUCUUCUUGAAGAAAACCUCAUGGAUGCUUCAUGAAACCUCUUCUCGGAUCCUUGGAAGAAUUGAAGAAGAGGUAAGUGUAUCCAAGGUUCACC